UGUGAACUCGAAGAGUAGGGCGGGACACGUGGUAUCCUGUCUGAAUAUGGGGGGACCAUCCUCCAAGGCUAAAUACUCCUGACUGACCGAUAGUGAACCAGUACCGUGAGGGAAAGGCGAAAAGAACCCCGGCGAGGGGAGUGAAAAAGAACCUGAAACCGUGUACGUACAAGCAGUGGGAGCACCUUCGGGUGUGACUGCGUACCUUUUGUAUAAUGGGUCAGCGACUUAUAUUCUGUAGCAAGGUUAACCGUAUAGGGGAGCCGCAGGGAAACCGAGUCUUAACUGGGCGUUAAGUUGCAGGGUAUAGACCCGAAACCCGGUGAUCUAGCCAUGGGCAGGUUGAAGGUUGGGUAACACUAACUGGAGGACCGAACCGACUAAUGUUGAAAAAUUAGCGGAUGACUUGUGGCUGGGGGUGAAAGGCCAAUCAAACCGGGAGAUAGCUGGUUCUCCCCGAAAGCUAUUUAGGUAGCGCCUCGUGAACUCAUCUUCGGGGGUAGAGCACUGUUUCGGCUAGGGGGUCAUCCCGACUUACCAACCCGAUGCAAACUACGAAUACCGAAGAAUGUUAUCACGGGAGACACACGGCGGGUGCUAACGUCCGUCGUGAAGAGGGAAACAACCCAGACCGCCAGCUAAGGUCCCAAAGUCAUGGUUAAGUGGGAAACGAUGUGGGAAGGCACAGACAGCCAGGAUGUUGGCUUAGAAGCAGCCAUCAUUUAAAGAAAGCGUAAUAGCUCACUGGUCGAGUCGGCCUGCGCGGAAGAUGUAACGGGGCUAAACCAUGCACCGAAGCUGCGGCAGCGACACUAUGUGUUGUUGGGUAGGGGAGCGUUCUGUAAGCCUGCGAAGGUGACCUGUGAGGGUUGCUGGAGGUAUCAGAAGUGCGAAUGCUGACAUAAGUAACGAUAAAGCGGGUGAAAAGCCCGCUCGCCGGAAGACCAAGGGUUCCUGUCCAACGUUAAUCGGGGCAGGGUGAGUCGACCCCUAAGGCGAGGCCGAAAGGCGUAGUCGAUGGGAAACAGGUUAAUAUUCCUGUACUUGGUGUUACUGCGAAGGGGGGACGGAGAAGGCUAUGUUAGCCGGGCGACGGUUGUCCCGGUUUAAGCAUGUAGGCUGGUUAUCCAGGCAAAUCCGGAUAAUCAAGGCUGAGGUGUGAUGACGAGGCACUACGGUGCUGAAGUAACAAAUGCCCUGCUUCCAGGAAAAGCCUCUAAGCAUCAGGUAACAUUAAAUCGUACCCCAAACCGACACAGGUGGUCAGGUAGAGAAUACCAAGGCGCUUGAGAGAACUCGGGUGAAGGAACUAGGCAAAAUGGUGCCGUAACUUCGGGAGAAGGCACGCUGGUGUGUAGGUGAAGUCCCUGCGGAUGGAGCUGAGACCAGUCGAAGAUACCAGCUGGCUGCAACUGUUUAUUAAAAACACAGCACUGUGCAAACACGAAAGUGGACGUAUACGGUGUGACGCCUGCCCGGUGCCGGAAGGUUAAUUGAUGGGGUUAUCCGUAAGGAGAAGCUCUUGAUCGAAGCCCCGGUAAACGGCGGCCGUAACUAUAACGGUCCUAAGGUAGCGAAAUUCCUUGUCGGGUAAGUUCCGACCUGCACGAAUGGCGUAAUGAUGGCCAGGCUGUCUCCACCCGAGACUCAGUGAAAUUGAACUCGCUGUGAAGAUGCAGUGUACCCGCGGCAAGACGGAAAGACCCCGUGAACCUUUACUAUAGCUUGACACUGAACAUUGAGCCUUGAUGUGUAGGAUAGGUGGGAGGCUUUGAAGC
rnacentral:rRNA from 1 species